rnacentral:rRNA from 1 species
AUGCAAGUCGAGCGGGCGUAGCAAUACGUCAGCGGCAGACGGGUGAGUAACGCGUGGGAACAUACCUUUUGGUUCGGAACAACACAGGGAAACUUGUGCUAAUACCGGAUAAGCCCUUACGGGGAAAGAUUUAUCGCCGAAAGAUUGGCCCGCGUCUGAUUAGCUAGUUGGUGAGGUAACGGCUCACCAAGGCGACGAUCAGUAGCUGGUCUGAGAGGAUGAUCAGCCACAUUGGGACUGAGACACGGCCCAAACUCCUACGGGAGGCAGCAGUGGGGAAUAUUGGACAAUGGGCGCAAGCCUGAUCCAGCCAUGCCGCGUGAGUGAUGAAGGCCCUAGGGUUGUAAAGCUCUUUUGUGCGGGAAGAUAAUGACGGUACCGCAAGAAUAAGCCCCGGCUAACUUCGUGCCAGCAGCCGCGGUAAUACGAAGGGGGCUAGCGUUGCUCGGAAUCACUGGGCGUAAAGGGUGCGUAGGCGGGUCUUUAAGUCAGGGGUGAAAUCCUGGAGCUCAACUCCAGAACUGCCUUUGAUACUGAAGAUCUUGAGUUCGGGAGAGGUGAGUGGAACUGCGAGUGUAGAGGUGAAAUUCGUAGAUAUUCGCA